UUACAGCCAUAUCAUGAUGAAACACUAGUUCUCGUACAAUGACCAAAGUUAAACAAUGUUGAGUUUGGUCAGUACUUAGAUGGGUGACUGCUUUGGAAUACCAGGUACUGUAAG